ACGCAAAUAGAGGCAGGGAAUGUGGUAACUGUGCAGCGAAAUGGAGCAAGCCAAGAACAAAUUCCUCUCUUGCAGCCCUCUGGUGAUACUGCGACUGAUUCGGUGCACCUAGGUCAAAAACAAGGUAGAUCUGUUAAUUUGUAUAAACUAUAUCAAUAGAAUAUGCAUGCUUGCAUUUGUAACAUUUUUGUUUUCUUGUUAUAGAUAUUCUGGAAGGUAUGACGGCACCCUCUGAUAACAGCCCAUUUUUCAGCAAACCAUUUUUUGAGCCAGUACCCCCAAUAAAAGUUUUUCCGGGUAUGGCGUAUUUGCUCGUCAUAUAUCUCGUUCACAAUAUUUCGAGACUCAUUUUUCAUAGUGUUCAUAUGCUCAAAAUUAAUUAAGCUACAUUUGGCUCCACCUCAUACAGUAUUGUACCACAGUAUUUGAGAUUAUUUUGUUUAUAUAGUUAAUGAUGAUGGCCUGCAGGAGGGGACAACCAGACGGUUGCAAAACCAACUUUAGUUAUUCACCAACCGGUUGAGUCAGAAGCUCCACCUCAUACAGUAGUGGCAGUCCCUGAGGCUGAGACACCAGUUCCUGCAUUAUCAGCUCCAAGGGAUGAAUGGGAUAUACUGAAAGCAAUAGUGUAUGGCGGCCUUGUUGAAUCAAUC
rnacentral:lncRNA from 1 species